rnacentral:lncRNA from 1 species
UGCAUUUAUCAUUCAUAGUUCCAAAUUCAACCUGCUAACAUAUAGAAAAUAAUUGAAAAAAUUUACAUUAUUAUUUUGUUAGUUGUGUUCUGAGUUCACUAGCCAGCCCCAAACCGUUGAAAAUUAGCAAAUAAAUUUUAGCUUUUUAGACGGCAACCCCUUAAACAUCCGUGAGUAUACUCAGUCUGAAGUUGCUGAUUAUUUGUUGUUAAAAAACGGAUUUCUUCUUCAGAACAUGUGCUGUGGACCUGCUUCAUGCUGCCCGAACUGCGGUCCACCUUGUGGCGGUCCCUACUCUACGCCAUGUUGCGUGGAGCUCUGCUGUUCGCCCUGCACUCCAGCCUACUUGCAGUGCACCUUCUGUCCGUGCCAUCCACGAUGCUGCUAGCACAGGGGACGAACAGGAUAAGGAGUUAGCUGAGGAGAUUACUGAUCACAAUUAACAAAAAGAUAAUGUAAAAAAAAAAAAACAUUAAAUGUAACAGAAAUGAGAUAAUGGGAUGUUCAUUUGUACAUUUGGAAUUGCUUUAGUUUCAAUUUGCUCUUCGGGUUAUAAUACAUUAUCAUAAUCACAAUUGUUCAGAUCAGAAGGAAACGUUACCGACUCCAAAAAGUAUUUUAAAUCAGCAUCAAGAGCCGAGUCUAUGUCUGCUUCACUUCCCCCUAAACUUCUCCAACAUUAGCAGCCUUUAUAAAAAAGUUGCAGCGCCGCUUCACGGAGGAGGCUCGAUUAAUUCUCAGUGCAUUCAGAGGGAUUAUAAAAAUAUAAAAUACUAUUUUUGUUGGUUUUUAUUCACGGAUGAUUUUGUAUGUUAUUUCCUAAUUUCGGGCACAUCUUGCAGCGUUGCUAGCAACAACCUCGUGGACCACCGCAGCAGCCGCGAUAGAGCGGACAGCAGGGCGUGUAGCCAGUGCGACAGCUGGGAACGCUCGCCGUGCCGGUCCAGCAGUUGAAGCAGAAAUUGGUGCACUGAAUGCUGGCGGGCAGGCCGCAGCAGCCACCGGGAUUGCAGCACAUCUCGAUGAACGAUGAAGCUAAUUAGCUAAAAAGCAGGAACCAGGAGAUAGACGAUUGUUUGUAAGUUCCGACAGAGAGCGCAAGUGUUCUGUAAAAGAUUAAAAGAAUGUUCAUUAAUUCUAAAUACAAUUUUCUCUUAACAACUUACCACAAAAAAAUAUUAGUCCAAACGAUGUUAGUUAUUGGAAAAUGUAAUGUUUUUUUUUUGUAUUGUGUUCACAACGAGGCUCAAAGUCGGAAUG